rnacentral:rRNA from 1 species
GACGAACGCUGGCGGCGUGCUUAACACAUGCAAGUCGAACGGAAAGGCCCUGCUUUUGUGGGGUGCUCGAGUUGCGAACGGGUGAGUAACACGUGAGUAACCUGCCCUUGACUUUGGGAUAACUUCAGGAAACUGGGGCUAAUACCGGAUAGGAGCUCCUGCUGCAUGGUGGGGGUUGGAAAGUUUCGGCGGUUGGGGAUGGACUCGCGGCUUAUCAGCUUGUUGGUGGGGUAGUGGCUUACCAAGGCUUUGACGGGUAGCCGGCCUGAGAGGGUGACCGGCCACAUUGGGACUGAGAUACGGCACAGACUCCUACGGGAGGCAGCAGUGGGGAAUAUUGCACAAUGGGCGGAAGCCUGAUGCAGCAACGCCGCGUGCGGGAUGAUGGCCUUCGGGUUGUAAACCGCUUUCGCCUGUGACGAAGCGUGAGUGACGGUAAUGGGUAAAGAAGCACCGGCUAACUACGUG